CGUAAACAAAGGGAAGCGAAGCGGUGACGCCUGGCAAAUCCCAGAAAUAACGUCCCAGUUCGGAUUGUAGUCUGCAACCCGACUACAUGAAGCUGGAAUCGCUAGUAAUCGCGAAUCAGAAUGUCGCGGUGAAUACGUUCCCGGGUCUUGUACACACCGCCCGUCACACCAUGGGAGUCGGGAACACCCGAAGUCCGUAGCCUAACAGCAAUGGGGGCGCGGCCGAAGGUGGGUUCGAUAAUUGGGGUGAAGUCGUAACAAGGUAUC
rnacentral:rRNA from 1 species